rnacentral:rRNA from 1 species
UAGGGAAUAUUGGACAAUGGGCGCAAGCCUGAUCCAGCCAUGCCGCGUGAGUGAAGAAGGCCCUCGGGUUGUAAAGCUCUUUUGUCCGGAAAGAAAAGCAUCGGGUUAAUACCCCGGUGUUCUGACGGUACCGGAAGAAUAAGCACCGGCUAACUUCGUGCCAGCAGCCGCGGUAAUACGAAGGGUGCAAGCGUUACUCGGAAUUACUGGGCGUAAAGCGUGCGUAGGUGGUUCGUUAAGUCUGAUGUGAAAGCCCUGGGCUCAACCUGGGAAUGGCAUUGGAAACUGGCGGACUGGAGUGCGGUAGAGGGUAGCGGAAUUCCCGGUGUAGCAGUGAAAUGCGUAGAGAUCGGGAGGAACAUCCGUGGCGAAGGCGGCUCACUGGCUCGAUACUGACGCUGAGGUGCGAAAGCGUGGGGAGCAAACA